ACGAACGCUGGCGGCGUGCUUAACACAUGCAAGUCGAACGGAAAGGCCCUUCGGGGUACUCGAGUGGCGAACGGGUGAGUAACACGUGGGUGAUCUGCCCUGCACUUUGGGAUAAGCCUGGGAAACUGGGUCUAAUACCGAAUAGGACCACGCGCUUCAUGGUGUGUGGUGGAAAGCUUUUGCGGUGUGGGAUGGGCCCGCGGCCUAUCAGCUUGUUGGUGGGGUAAUGGCCUACCAAGGCGACGACGGGUAGCCGGCCUGAGAGGGUGACCGGCCACACUGGGACUGAGAUACGGCCCAGACUCCUACGGGAGGCAGCAGUGGGGAAUAUUGCACAAUGGGCGCAAGCCUGAUGCAGCGACGCCGCGUGAGGGAUGACGGCCUUCGGGUUGUAAACCUCUUUCAAUAGGGACGAAGCGCAAGUGACGGUACCCAUAGAAGAAGCACCGGCCAACUACGUG
rnacentral:rRNA from 1 species